rnacentral:rRNA from 1 species
GUGAGGAAUAUUGGGCAAUGGGCGAAAGCCUGACCCAGCCACGCCGCGUGAGUGAUGAAGGCCUUCGGGUUGUAAAGCUCUGUGGGGAGGGAAGAAAAAGCGGGAGAGUAACUGCUCUCGUGUUGACGGUACCUCCUUAGCAAGCACCGGCUAACUCUGUGCCAGCAGCCGCGGUAAUACAGAGGGUGCAAACGUUGCUCGGAAUUACUGGGCGUAAAGCGCGUGUAGGCUGACAUGCAAGUCGGUUGUGAAAUCCCAGGGCUCAACCUUGGAACUGCACUCGAAACUGCACGUCUUGAGUACUGGAGAGGGAAGCGGAAUUCCGGGUGUAGAGGUGAAAUUCGUAGAUAUCCGGAGGAACACCAGUGGCGAAGGCGGCUUCCUGGACAGUAACUGACGCUGAGACGCGAAAGCGUGGGGAGCAAACAGGAUUAGAUACCCGGGUAGUCC